UACGGGGGGGCAAGCGUUGUUCGGAAUUACUGGGCGUAAAGGGCUCGUAGGCGGCCAACUAAGUCGGACGUGAAAUCCCCAGGCUCAACCUGGGAACUGCGUCCGAUACUGGAUGGCUUGAAUUCGGGAGAGGGAUGCAGAAUUCCAGGUGUAGCGGUGAAAUGCGUAGAGAUGUGGAGGAAUACCGAUGGCGAAGGCAGCCCCCUGGGAUAACACUGACGCUCAUGCACGAAAGCGUGGGGAGCAAACAGG
rnacentral:rRNA from 1 species